ensembl:misc_RNA Metazoa_SRP Metazoan signal recognition particle RNA
GUCAGGUGUGAUGGCACGUGCCUGUAGUCCCAGCUACUCAGGAGGCUGAGGCUGGAGGAUCUCUUGAACCCAGGAGUUCUGGGCUGUAGCGCACUAUGCCAAUCGGGUGUCUGCACUAAGUUCAUCAUCAAUAUGGUGACCUCCCGGGAGCGGGGGACCACCAGGUGGCCUGAGGAGGGGUGAACCGGCCCAGGUUGGAAACGGAGCAGGUCAAAAUUCCCAUGCUGAUCAGUAGUUGGAUCGCACCUGUGAAUAGCCACUGCACUCCAGCCUGGGCAACAUAGCGAGACCCAGUCUCUU